rnacentral:rRNA from 1 species
AGUGAACGCUGGCGGUAGGCCUAACACAUGCAAGUCGAACGGCAGCACAGUAAGAGCUUGCUCUUACGGGUGGCGAGUGGCGGACGGGUGAGGAAUACAUCGGAAUCUACUUUUUCGGGGGGGAUAACGUAGGGAAACUUACGCUAAUACCGCAUACGACCUACGGGUGAAAGCAGGGGAUCUUCGGACCUUGCGCGAUUGAAUGAGCCGAUGUCGGAUUAGCUAGUUGGCGGGGUAAAGGCCCACCAAGGCGACGAUCCGUAGCUGGUCUGAGAGGAUGACCAGCCACACUGGAACUGAGACACGGUCCAGACUCCUACGGGAGGCAGCAGUGGGGAAUAUUGGACAAUGGGCGCAAGCCUGAUCCAGCCAUACCGCGUGGGUGAAGAAGGCCUUCGGGUUGUAAAGCCCUUUUGUCGGGAAAGAAAAGCAGCAGGUUAAUACCCCGCUGUUUUGACGUUACCCAAAGAAUAAGCACCGGCUAACUUCGUG